rnacentral:rRNA from 1 species
GUCGUAACAAGGUCUCCGUAGGUGAACCUGCGGAGGGAUCAUUACUGAGUUUUUAACUCUCCAAACCAUGUGAACUUACCACUGUUGCCUCGGUGGUCGGUGCUGGAAACAGUGCUGCCACCGGUGGACUACUAAACUCUUGUUAAUUUUUGUCAAAUCUGAAUCAAACUAAGAAAUAAGUUAAAACUUUCAACAACGGAUCUCUUGGUUCUGGCAUCGAUGAAGAACGCAGCGAAAUGCGAUAAGUAAUGUGAAUUGCAGAAUUCAGUGAAUCAUCGAAUCUUUGAACGCACAUUGCGCCCAUUAGUAUUCUAGUGGGCAUGCCUGUUCGAGCGUCAUUUCAACCCUUAAGCCUAGCUUAGUGUUGGGAGACUGCCUAAUACGCAGCUCCUCAAAACCAGUGGCGGAGUCUGUUCGUGCUCUGAGCGUAGUAAUUUUUUAUCUCGCUUCUGCAAGCCGGCCAGACGACAGCCAUAAACCGCACCCUCUCGGGGGGCACUUUUUUAAUGGUUGACCUCGGAUCAGGUAGGAAUACCCGCUGAACUUAAGCAUAUCAAUAAGCGGAGGAA